rnacentral:ncRNA from 1 species
GGAUAUUCAUUGAGACAGCAGGACGGUGGUCAUGGAAGUCGAAAUCCGCUAAGGAGAGUGUGUAGCAACUCACCUGCCGAAUGAAGCAGCUCUGAAAAUGGAUGGCGCUGA